CUUCAACCAAUUAAGCCCUCUAUGCUCCUUUCCUCGUGGGGGCCCAGUAUACAGUGACUGCAAACAGCAGCCUCCUUGGUAGUGUAUGCAGACUGUUGCUUAUAUGGGUUGCCCUAAGGGACCUUGAAGGCAGCC